rnacentral:tRNA from 1 species
AGGAGCUUAGGUUWAUACAUCCCCAAACCUAGGACCUUCAAAGUCCUCAAUAGGAGUGAAACCCCCCUAGCUCUUG